rnacentral:rRNA from 1 species
UACGAAGGGGGCUAGCGUUGCUCGGAAUCACUGGGCGUAAAGGGUGCGUAGGCGGGUCUUUAAGUCAGGGGUGAAAUCCUGGAGCUCAACUCCAGAACUGCCUUUGAUACUGAGGAUCUUGAGUUCGGGAGAGGUGAGUGGAACUGCGAGUGUAGAGGUGAAAUUCGUAGAUAUUCGCAAGAACACCGGUGGCGAAGGCGGCGACCUGGGUAGAUACUGACGCUGAGGUGCGAAAGCGUGGGGAGCAAACAGG